UACGUAGGGCGCAAGCGUUGUCCGGAAUUAUUGGGCGUAAAGAGCUCGUAGGCGGCCAGUUGCGUCUGCUGUGAAAUCCCGGGGCUCAACCCCGGGCGUGCAGUGGAUACGGGCUGGCUGGAGGCAGGCAGGGGAGAACGGGAAUUCCCGGUGUAGCGGUGAAAUGCGCAGAUAUCGGGAGGAACACCGGUGGCGAAGGCGGUUCUCUGGGCCUUACCUGACGCUGAGGAGCGAAAGCGUGGGGAGCGAACAGG
rnacentral:rRNA from 1 species